UAACUCCUCCCUUCUCUGUGGUAGCACAGCACCUUGUUCAUAAAGAUAGCACAGUGUUUUACACGCUUUCAGGUAUAGACAGUUCUGGCUCCACUGCUACACUGUCCAUCUUAGGGCAGGGACUGUAGCUGGCUCCCCAUAUGUGUCUUCAGUGCCUGUCACCUAGUGGAGACUCAACUAAUACCUGUCUGCUGGGCUGAGCUUUGCAAGGAUAGGCAGUUACUAUGCUCUUUCAUAUUUUUAAAACUCCAAAGAAUACCAUGGGUAUCGUAUCAUAAAGAAAGUAAAAUUAUCAGGUCUCAUAAGUACUCUUCCCAUCUCUGUUAUUGACAUUUAAAAACACAUUCAGAGUUCCCAGGCUAGGGGUCGAAUCGGAGCUGUAGCCACCAGCCUACGCCGCAGCCACAGCAACGCAGGAUCUGAGCCGUGUCUGCAACUUGCACCACAGCCCACGGCAAUGCGGGAUCUCUAACCCACUGAGCAAGGCCAGGGAUCGAACCCGCAACCUCAUGGUUCCUAGUCAGAUUCAUUAACCACUGCACCACGAUGGGAACUCCCAGUUUGUUGUCUUUUUUAGAUUCCACUUCUAAGUAACAUCCAACAAUAUUGCUCUUUCUCUACCUGACUUAUUUCACUUAACAUAGUACCCUCCUAGUCCAUCCAUAUUGCUGCAAAUGGCAACAUUUCAUUCUUUUUUAUGGCCUAGUAAUAUUCCACUGUGUGUGUGUGUGUGUGUGUGUGUGUACACGUACACCACAUCUUUCUUCUCCAUUCAUCUGUUGAUGGACAUGUAGGUUGCUUCCUUAUCUUGGCUACUGUAAAUGACACUGCUGUGAACAUUGGGGCACAUGUAUCUUUUCAAAUUAAUGUUUCUGUUUUUUUCGGAUAUAUACCCAAGAGUGGACUUGCUGGGUCAUAUGGUAGUUCUGUUUUUAGGUUUUUUUUUGAGGAACCCCUGUGCUGUUUUCUAUAGUGGCUCCAUAAUUUAUAUUCCUACCCAUAGUGUGCAAGUGUUCCUUUUUCUCCACAUCCAUACCAACAUUUUUUAUUUCUUUUUGAUGAUUGCCAUUCUGACAGGUGGGCGAUGAUAUCUCCUUGUGGUUUUUAUUACAUUUCCAUGAUGAUUAGCAAUGUUGAGCAUCUUUUCAUAUGCCUGUUCACCAUCUAUAGUUCCUCUUUGGAAAACUGUCUAUUCCGGUCUUCAGCCCAUCUUUAAUCAGGUUUUUUGGUUUUUUGAUGUUGAGUUAUGUAAGCUGUUAAUAUAUUUUGAAUAUUAACCUCUUACUGGUUAUAUCAUUUGCAAAUAUUUUCUCCCUUUCUGUAGGUCGUCUUUUUGUUUUAUGGUUGAUUUCCUUUGCUAUGCAAAAACUUAAAAUCAAAACAACUUUUGAGAUGCGCAAAGGCAGGUUUCUCAAUCGCAAACUGAAUUUGUCAAACUAGCUUUAAAUGAGGAAAAGCAAAGCAGGAUAACAGGUGAUUUGGCAAAGGUAAAGUAGUCCCUAAAGGAACUGCUAACUAGCCGUCCAGAUCAUCGCCCAACGACCUGCUCUGACACCUGGUCAGACCCUCUGGAACACUCUGUUUAUGGCUUGAGAACCCUUGAGGGAUGUCAUCAAGUGCAACUUCAAACAGUGGGCUUCCUUGUGAAGCUGCAACAACAGACUUGGGCUGUGGCAGUGAAGUAAAGGCUGUGUGCCAAAAACAGCCUCUGCAAAGCAGUCACUGCGGGCGUGAAUUUUAUGAGUUCCCUGUAUGCAAACUACCAUUAGUCACGCAUUGAUUGAUCCAUUGCUUCAGGAGCUUCAUUUCCAAAGGCAAAGGCAGCUUUUCAACACAAUCUCACUAUAGCACUGCCUUUGUCAUCCACUCCUUUAAAGCUCCUUCAUAAGGGGGUCUUUUUUUGGAUUGAAAUGCUUAGACCCCUUAAGACUAUGCUGCACCUCGAAUAGUGACACUCUGAGAUUCCUGUAUUUUUCUGUGCAUAGAAGAAAGCCGGGAUUUCUCCAUCUUUCUCACUGGCAUUUUCAUAGGAAAAUAAAUGUAGUGAAUAUAUAAAUAAAAAGGUAGAGAAACAACACUACUCUCUUCGCAUUAGCCAGGUACUGUGACUAAAGCAGAAACAUCUUGCUUGCCCAGAAAUUCACUAUAAUUCAACAUUACUAUGGAAUAGCUAAGAAUAGGCAGAAAUUAUCCUUUCCUUUUUUUCCUUUUUUUUUUUAAAAUUGACAUCCUUGUCUUAAUUGUCUUCCUUUAGGAAUUAUAUACAAUAUUCAUAGUUAUAUUGGAUAUCAGAACUCAGUUAUUGACAGUUUUCUAAGGAUGUGUUCAGAGCUAGGAUAUAUAGUGACAAGGAUAGAUGUUUUCUAUAUCCUACCAGUGCUGUUUUUUUAUUUUUCUUUUACAGAGGGACAGGUGAGAGUAGUAUACAUGUCUAAAGAGGAAGUAUCUCUAUAAGUUGUGGUUUAUAUUAUGUUUUGCAGAGAAGAGACUAGAAACAGGAAGAAUAGCUAAUUUUAUGUUUAGUCCAUGCUGCUGGGCCUUUACUGAUCACAUAACUGUGUAGGUGGAUUGAAAACUUUGUUUUUUUAAUUGAAGUAUAGUUGACUUACAAUAUUAUAUUAGCUUCCAGUGUACAGCAUAGUGAUUCAGUAUUUUUACAGAUUAUACUCCAUUAAAAGUUAUUAUAAGAUAAGGGCUAUAAAUCCCUGUGCUGUACAAUAUAUCCUUGUUGCUUAUCUAUUUUUUAUAAUGAUUUUUAUUUUUUUCAUUCUAGCUGGUUUACAGUGUUCUGCCAAUUUUCUACUGUACAGCAAGGUGACCCAGUUACAUAUACAUGAAUAGAUUCUUUUUUCCCACAUUACCAUGCUCCAUCAUGAGUGACUAGAUACGGUUCCCAGUGCUACACUCUCAUUGCUUAUCCAUUCCAAAGGCAAUAGUCUGCAUCUGUUAACCCCAUGCACCCCAUCCAUCCCACUCCCUCCCUCUCCCCCUUAGCAACCACAAGUCUAUUCUCCAAGUCCAUGAUUUUCUUUUCUGUGGAAAGGUUCGUUUGUGCCAUAUGUUAGAUUCCAGAUAUAAGUCAUAUCAUAUGGUAUUUGUCUUUCUCUUUCUGACUUACUUCACUCAGGAUGAGAGUCUCUAGUUUUAUCCAUGUUGCUGAAAAUGGCAUUAUUUUGUUCUUUUUAAUGGCUGAGUAGUAUUCCAUUGUGUAUGUAUACCACUACUUCCUAAUCCAGUCCUCUGUCGAUGGACAUUUGGGCUGUUUCCAUGUCUUGGCUUUUGUGAAUAGAGCUGCAGUGAACAUGCGGGUGCAUGUGUCUUUUUUAAGGAGAGUUUUGUCUGGAUAUGUGCCCGAGAGUGGAAUUGCUGGGUCAUAUGGUAGUUCUAUGUAUAGUUUUAUAAGAUUACCUCCAUACUGUUCUCGAUAGUGGUUGUACCAGCUUACAUUCCCACCAACAGUGCAGGAGGGUUCCCUCUUCUCCACACCCCCUCCAGCACUUGUUAUUUGUGGACUUAUUAGUGAUGGCCAUUCUAACUGGUGUGAGGUGGUAUCUCGUGGUAGUUUUGAUUUGCAUUUCUCUAAUAAUCAGUGAUGUUGAGCAUUAUUUUCAUGUGCUUGUUGACCAUCUGCAUUGCUUAUCUAUUUUUAUGCAUAGUCAUUUGUAUCCUUAAUUCCAUGCCCCAAUCUUGCCCCUCCCAACUUCCUUCUCUCCACCCGUAACCGCUAUUUUGUUUUCUGUAUCUGUGAGUCUGUUUUUGCUAUGUACAUUCUUUUGUUUUAUUUUUUGAUUACAUAUAUAAGUGAUAUUACAUGAUAUCUAUCAUACAGUAUGUAUCUUUCUCUGACUUAUGUCACUAAGCAUAAUAUCCUCUAGGUCUGUCCUGCUCCUGACAAUGGCAGGAUUUCAUUCUAUUUAUGGCUAAUAUUCUGUGAUCCUUCUUUAUCGAAUACCAGGGUUGCUUCCGUAUCUUGGCUAUUGUAAAUAGUGCUGCUAUGAACAUUGGGGUGCAUGUAUCUUUUCAAAUUGGUGUUUUCAUUUUUUCUGGAUAUAUACCCAGGAGUAGAAUUGCUGGAUCAUGUGAUCUAAUGUAAUUAUAAUGUAGUUAAUGUAACUAAUAACUAAGCAUUGUAUUAUUUAGAAGGGUGUGACUGAUGUGGUAAUAAGAAUUGUAAUUAUUAAGAAAUUUUAUAUAAUACUAACCAGUCAUAGUGACUGGAAAUGUUAGAACUUUAUUUAAAAGAACUACAUUAGAUAACAUGUAAUGUUUGUACAUAUCUCCAGUGCACAGGUACCUACUAGGCCAAUUGUAUUUACUGCUGAACAUGCACUGUGAAUGACUUUCUUUAGUUGCGUGCAGAUGGUUUUUUUCCUUGUUUUUCUCCCUAUCUUGGCUUCUCUUAAAAAGAGAGAGAUAAAUGGGGAGAUUUUGGUCAAAGGGUAUAAACUUAACAAGUUCUGGGAAUCUAAAGUACAGUCGGGUGGAGUUCCCAUCGUGGCGCAGUGGUUAACGAAUCCGACUAGGAACCAUGAGGUUGCGGGUUCGGUCCCUGCCCUUGCUCAGUGGGUUAAGGAUCCAGCAGUGCCAUGAGCUGUGGUGUGGGUUGCAGACGCGGCUCGGAUCCCAUGUUGCU
rnacentral:lncRNA from 1 species